CGCUUCUGUUCUCUCUCAUCUCUCUGAGUCUCUCCAUCUCUCUCGAUCUCCCAUCUCUCUCGUUCUCCAUCUCUCUCCAUCUCAGUCUCUCUCUCCAUCACGGCUCUCUCUCCAUCUCAGGCUCUCUCUCCAUCUCAGGCUCUCUCUCUAUCUCAGGCUCUCCAUCUCUCUCCAUCACGGCUCUCCAUCUAUCUCCAUCAGUUUGAAUGUGUUUAAGCCUUUGUUUACAAAUUACUUAGAGGAAGCUUUACUGUUAGGGUUGGCUAGUGAUAGAGUAAAGGUGUAAACUUGUUGAUUAUUUGAGACGUGUUCUUGUUGUGAGGAUAUUUUCAGGAGAGUGGAUGAUGAUGAUGUAGAGAACAUCCUUACACCACUAAAGCUGGGGAAUGUAAAGAACAGAGGACAUGAGCGGUUACUGCAGCAAAUCAGAACAAACCCACCAUCUCCUCAGUGCUUCUCUGAGAACCAGACAGCUUCUUUGAAGGCCUUGGCGACCGAACAUACGGUUGAAAAAGUGGUGAAGAGAAAGGAGGAAGGAGAGCAGGUCAGAGACAGUAACAACAACAAAGAAGGGAGGGGCUUGGACGUUCUAUGGUUCUUAAAGCCUUGCUCUAUGGCCAACUAAAUUCUUUUACCAAAUACGUUUUUUUAUAUCUGAUUCAUUCUUUUGUUAAAGUUCAUUUUUAUUAAAUUGUAACUGAUGAUCUUGCUCAGAUUCAUCAUGUAACUCUGAGCAAUUUGUAUCAUUCAAUCUCACCUUUACAUACAAUAAAUAAAGUUAAUUGUCAGUUAAA